rnacentral:rRNA from 1 species
UACGUAGGUGACAAGCGUUGUCCGGAUUUACUGGGCGUAAAGAGCGCGCAGGCGGUCGUUCAAGUCGAGUGUGAAAGCCCCCGGCUCAACUGGGGAGGGUCAUUCGAUACUGAUCGACUCGAAGGCAGGAGAGGGUAGUGGAAUUCCCGGUGUAGUGGUGAAAUGCGUAGAUAUCGGGAGGAACACCCAGUGGCGAAGGCGACUACCUGGCCUGUUCUUGACGCUGAGGCGCGAAAGCUAGGGGAGCAAACAGGG